UACGAAGGGUGCAAGCGUUACUCGGAAUUACUGGGCGUAAAGCGUGCGUAGGCGGUUUGUUAAGUCCGCUGUGAAAGCCCUGGGCUCAACCUGGGAAUUGCAGUGGAUACUGGCAAGCUAGAGUGCGGUAGAGGAUGGUGGAAUUCCCGGUGUAGCGGUGAAAUGCGUAGAGAUGCGGAGGAACACCUGUGGCGAAGGCGGCCCCCUGGGCCGGCCCUGACACUGAGACGCGAAGGCGUGGGGAGCGAACGGG
rnacentral:rRNA from 1 species